UUUUUAAAUAAAGUUGGAAGGUAAGUUGAAGAUGGAUGUAUAAUAAAAAUUUUAUGUCUUUAAAUUUUCAUGAUGUGACGAAAUUUUAUUAACGCCUAAAAAUCUUAGUUUUUAUAAUGAUCUUAAUAAAAAUUAUUCCUUUAAUAGUUUCACUGGAACAUAAUAACAAUAUAUUAUUUGCUAACAAUUAUGGGAAAUUUUUUAC
rnacentral:lncRNA from 1 species